ACUGCUUCUCAGCUGUUUGACUAAGAUCAAGUGUGGUAUCUGUUUUUGUCAGUUUAAUGAUAUUAGCUUUUAGACUAAUAGUUUUUAAGAAAUGCAUUAGUCUUU
rnacentral:snRNA from 1 species